rnacentral:rRNA from 1 species
CGGAGCUUGCUCCACCGGAAAAAGAAGAGUGGCGAACGGGUGAGUAACACGUGGGUAACCUGCCCAUCAGAAGGGGAUAACACUUGGAAACAGGUGCUAAUACCGUAUAACAAUCGAAACCGCAUGGUUUUGAUUUGAAAGGCGCUUUCGGGUGUCGCUGAUGGAUGGACCCGCGGUGCAUUAGCUAGUUGGUGAGGUAACGGCUCACCAAGGCCACGAUGCAUAGCCGACCUGAGAGGGUGAUCGGCCACAUUGGGACUGAGACACGGCCCAAACUCCUACGGGAGGCAGCAGUAGGGAAUCUUCGGCAAUGGACGAAAGUCUGACCGAGCAACGCCGCGUGAGUGAAGAAGGUUUUCGGAUCGUAAAACUCUGUUGUUAGAGAAGAACAAGGAUGAGAGUAACUGUUCAUCCCUUGACGGUAUCUAACCAGAAAGCCACGGCUAACUACGUGCCAGCAGCCGCGGUAAUACGUAGGUGGCAAGCGUUGUCCGGAUUUAUUGGGCGUAAAGCGAGCGCAGGCGGUUUCUUAAGUCUGAUGUGAAAGCCCCCGGCUCAACCGGGGAGGGUCAUUGGAAACUGGGAGACUUGAGUGCAGAAGAGGAGAGUGGAAUUCCAUGUGUAGCGGUGAAAUGCGUAGAUAUAUGGAGGAACACCAGUGGCGAAGGCGGCUCUCUGGUCUGUAACUGACGCUGAGGCUCGAAAGCGUGGGGAGCAAACAGGAUUAGAUACCCUGGUAGUCCACGCCGUAAACGAUGAGUGCUAAGUGUUGGAGGGUUUCCGCCCUUCAGUGCUGCAGCUAACGCAUUAAGCACUCCGCCUGGGGAGUACGACCGCAAGGUUGAAACUCAAAGGAAUUGACGGGGGCCCGCACAAGCGGUGGAGCAUGUGGUUUAAUUCGAAGCAACGCGAAGAACCUUACCAGGUCUUGACAUCCUUUGACCACUCUAGAGAUAGAGCUUCCCCUUCGGGGGCAAAGUGACAGGUGGUGCAUGGUUGUCGUCAGCUCGUGUCGUGAGAUGUUGGGUUAAGUCCCGCAACGAGCGCAACCCUUAUUGUUAGUUGCCAUCAUUUAGUUGGGCACUCUAGCAAGACUGCCGGUGACAAACCGGAGGAAGGUGGGGAUGACGUCAAAUCAUCAUGCCCCUUAUGACCUGGGCUACACACGUGCUACAAUGGGAAGUACAACGAGUCGCGAAGUCGCGAGGCUAAGCUAAUCUCUUAAAGCUUCUCUCAGUUCGGAUUGUAGGCUGCAACUCGCCUACAUGAAGCCGGAAUCGCUAGUAAUCGCGGAUCAGCACGCCGCGGUGAAUACGUUCCCGGGCCUUGUACACACCGCCCGUCACACCACGAGAGUUUGUAACACCCGAAGUC